UUCUGAAGCUUUUCUUAUGCAGUUUCUUUCGCAUUUAUCCUGUAGCCAUAUAGUUCGAUAGUUCUAUCGUUGUCAAACGAGUCAGUAAUGCAAAUGUUUUCAGUAGAGAGUGACGGAGUAUUUCGGAUGAAAGCAAGAGCAUUAUUAAAAAUUUGAUAAGAUCGACAAAUUCGGCGUGCUCUGAUGCUACAUGGAACACAUGCAGCUUCUGGGAAGCUAAAUCAGAAACGAAGUAAAAAAUAUUUUUGAUUAAUCUUUGCUGAAGAUAAAACACUGAACAGGCAGAACUACGUGACAGGAAACCCACUGACUAGCGCUUGCGAUCGAAACGCUAACUAUGGGACGAAAACCUGUCCUAGGUUGUUCAGUAGAAUACAGAAAAAAUAAAAUGCAAGUAUGAAACCUAAGUUUAAUGAAAUUGGACUUUAAGAAAAUUAUGACACUAUUUUGGAAUGAAUCCCUUCUGGUGCCGCAUGUCUUCGUACUUGUUCCUCUAUUUCUUGCGUGGUAUUGUGUUCAUCGGCGAAUCUACUAGGAGAGCCGGUAGCUGUCGCCUGAACAUUAUCAUCCUGAAUAGUAGGGUAGAAUUAGUCUCAUAGGUGUUCAUUAGUCCAUACCCGUGUGGUUCAAACUAUGUGUGUAACGCUUGUGUAACUCGUGGCCCGUCCAAAAGCUCCAUGUUCAUCAACAUGUAGAGGCCGCAUGACAUGCUGCAGUUAGAGAUAGGUUGUUUUAAUUAUGCAUAUUGUAAAUACCCAAUCCACAAUGCACGGUGACGUGUACCAUACCCAUCCCGUUGUUGGGGUACGUUUUGAACUUGGACUUGCCAAGUAUUGACUUUAUAAUCAGGCCAGUCACUCUUUUCGCACUCCAUAUGGGAUGCUACUUGAAGGUGGGCUUCCAUUCCCUUGAGCUGAAAGACAUGAUCAAAAUAAUUUUGGUAAUAAAUGGAAUAUGCGAGCUAACUUUUUAGGUCGAUAUGUUUAUAGGAAGCAUGGAACUUACCAUGCUCCGUAAUUCCACGUGGUUUUUCUUAUAAUCUUUUGAAUUUGUGCACAGCGAGUCUAGAAUUUUCUCCGUUUCUUGGCGCUGACGACGAUUGUGUACCAAUGCCUGUUAUUCUGGUUUCCUGGCAGGAAGAUCUGCAAUGAAAGUAUAAAUAUUUUUGGACAAGUAAAACAAAAUUGACAUGUCUGUAGGAUAGUUAGACAUACCAUGUCACUGCAAAUGUAGUUUUCCCCCUUUAGAGAAUUUUGUUUCAGCAGUACUUGGUCCGUGCAUUUUUUAUGCUCCCCAUCUCUUAUUAACAUGGUUGCCUCACUUGCCCUCUCGAUAAAGACCUUCCCGUCAGCCCUUGUGUCUGGGUUGAGCAUGUGCGUCAUCCUUCUUAUGGCUGCGUCGAUGAGCUGGAUCGCGUUGAAACAUACGAAAUUAGCAUUUACAAUUGCUAACAGCAAUAUAUAGUAUAUCAUAAGUGAACUUACGACGUCGUCCAACCAUCCGUUUUGAUUUUCAAGUGUGGAAGAUGUGAGGCAUAUCAAGUGUUCUCGAUAGAUCACCAUUUCCUCUAUGCGAAGUAAUUUAGUGUCUUUAGGUGAGGAAUUGACAUAGUCAAUAACAUCUUGCUCCUCUGCGGUAAUUUGAGCCACUGGAGUACUCUUGGGUUUCAGAGUACUGUUGCCUUUGGGAGGAUUUCUGGAAUGUGGAAAGUAAACAAAAUCUUUGUUCUUGUGUGACCUGGAUCUCCUUUUCCUUUGGGCACGCCCCCCGUGGUGGCUCAUUAACGAUGCAUCUUCAUCCCGGGAGUCUUCUAUUUCUUCCUGCGUACCUAUGCUCUUCGUCUCAGAAUUGUCCUGUAAAUUGGAGGUAUUUAGUAAGAAGAGUCAGUACAGACUCCAUUAAUUACUGCAAGUCCUUACGUUGAAGUCUUUGCCCAAGUUACGUGCAUGGUAUAUGUAUGUUUCUGGACGCAUGUUGUCCUGCAUAGUUGUAAUGUUUGUUAGUAUUUGAUACUUCAAAAAUAAUUAGUAUACUAAUUAGUAAUACGCAUGUUGACAAUGUUGGAGUCUUACAUCACUGUUGCGACUGUCUAUCCGCAUUCUCUUGGAUGCAAUUUCCUUCUCAAGGGCUGCCAUUCUUUUCAGGAUGUCUGUUUCGAAAAUACGCAGCUCCUCCUGCACUUUCUGGGACAUCUCAAAACUCUUCUUUGACAGCCUAAUGAACUCCUUUAUGGCAGAAAGAAGUAGAUCAUUAAUAGUCUAACACAUGCUAAACUAUGGACUCUAGCAAACGACUAAUUACCGGCCCGGUAUUUUCUUCCUUUUCCGGAUUAUACGGCGGUGACGGUGACCUAGGCUUUUCCCAUGCUGCCAUUAGGUCCAUGAUUAUCUGAAAAAGGUACAAAUGUGUGUACCUCUCCAGCUUCCCGGCCGUGCUUGUCUAAUACAGCUUGGACCUUGUUGGCCUUUGUCUCAUUCCAGUGUUGGAUGAGGGGUGUCUCCCGGCUGCUGUAGUCUAUUGUUCUGUCGAGUCUGUCCGCUCGAUUCUUCUCCCAAAACCAGACCUGCAGCAUGUAAGAAUUGGUAAGUAUGUGUCCUCUACAUAGUUAAAUGUGUACAACCACGUGAAAAUAGUGUCAGCCAACUUGGAGCAACUGUAGGUUUCCUUGGAGGUUUAUUGUCCCACUCGAGGAUGCUCCUCCGGUAUCUUGUCGGCGCUUAUUGUACUGCCUUAUUUCCGACAUCAGAUGAUCGUGUGUGAGUUUCGAGAAGUUUGUUGCCUGAAUUGAUUCAUUGCUGUAUACAUAUUUCAAGUAUUCUGCGGAGACAUAUCGAUUUAUCGUUGGGCAGAAUACGCAGCCAAUUGCGUAUAGAAGAAAAGACUUGAGACCAUGAUUGUUGUUAAUCAUGUUUUCACGCAACCUCGCGAAAGUGAUUCUUGUCUCAUUUUUAUCUUUUAUUUCCUCAAACAGGCUUGUCAAUUCUUCUUUCCGAGGUUCAAGGAUGAACCCACCAUGUCCAAUCAAACCAAAUAUGUUUUCAACAUCGGUCGGUCUCAUCUGCAAUGGACAUCGUUGGAUCAUGAAGGAAUCUGUAUCUUCAUGAUAUGUUUCGGCUAUCCACCUACAUAAAUUUCGGCGAAUCGUCAUGGGCUCUAUCUUCAGUAUGUCCUGUAGAUUGAGCUUGUCAAUAUCUGCUAAUAUUUCUGGAUGUAAGUCUUUAAUGCCCUUGACGAACCCCAUGAUUGAACACACUUGGGUAGUCUGAUCAUUGAAAAGUUAGGCAUAAUUACAUAUCUCAGUAAAGGAAUGUAUAGAAACGACGAUGCAACAUUGUAAAAGCAUAAAUGUAUAUAACAGAAUAAUCAUUUUUAUAGUUAUAUGUCUCCUUACUCUACUUUA